rnacentral:rRNA from 1 species
GACGAACGCUGGCGGCGUGCCUAAUACAUGCAAGUCGAACGCAGUGGGGACGGGGGAGUAACACGUGGGUAACCUCCCAUCAAAGGGGAUAACACUUGGAAACAGGUGCUAAACAGAUAUGGAAGGCUGGAGCUGCGGUGCAUUAGCUAGUUGGUGCGGUAACGGCUUACCAAGGCCACGAUGAAUCGCUGACCUGAGAGGGUGAUCGGCCACAAGUGGACUGAGACACGGACCAGAAUCCGCCGGGAGGCAGCAGUAGGGAAUCUUGGGCAAGGGACGAAAGGCUGACCGAGCAACGCCGCGUGAGUGAAGAAGGUUUUCGGGUCGUAAAAUUCUGUUGUUAGAGAAGCGGUAUCUAACCAGGAAGCAACGGCUAACUACGUGCCAGCAGCCGCGGUAAUAC